GUGAAAUGAUGAUGAAGUUUAUCCAUUCUCUGAGUGCUGCUGCACUGCCCUCCCUGCAGCAUCGAGAUUCCUGUCUAGGGUCUCUGUGCUGUGCAGCCUCCAAACACCCUCCAGCCUUUCAGUGUUCUACUGUGUGCUGCUGGAGGGGCUGGCUGGCUGCCUGCAGGAGCAGGACAGAGCCAGCAGGGCUGGAGCCCCUUUCCAUAGGGGCUCCAUCUCAGCCAAGAUGAGUGAUGCUCUCUGAUCAC